GACGAACGCUGGCGGCGUGCUUAACACAUGCAAGUCGAACGGAAAGGCCCUGCUUUUGUGGGGUGCUCGAGUGGCGAACGGGUGAGUAACACGUGAGUAACCUGCCCUUGACUUUGGGAUAACUUCAGGAAACUGGGGCUAAUACCGGAUAGGAUCUCCUGCUGCAUGGUGGGGGUUGGAAAGUUUCGGCGGUUGGGGAUGGACUCGCGGCUUAUCAGCUUGUUGGUGGGGUAGUGGCUUACCAAGGCUUUGACGGGUAGCCGGCCUGAGAGGGUGACCGGCCACAUUGGGACUGAGAUACGGCGCAGACUCCUACGGGAGGCAGCAGUGGGGAAUAUUGCACAAUGGGCGGAAGCCUGAUGCAGCAACGCCGCGUGCGGGAUGACGGCCUUCGGGUUGUAAACCGCUUUCGCCUGUGACGAAGCGUGAGUGACGGUAAUGGGUAAAGAAGCACCGGCUAACUACGUG
rnacentral:rRNA from 1 species